AAAUUUCUUUUUAUGGAGAGUUUGAUCCUGGCUCAGGACGAACGCUGGCGGCGUGCCUAAUACAUGCAAGUCGAGCGAACAGA
rnacentral:rRNA from 1 species